AUGGUUUUUCUGCUGGACAUGAGGCUCAGAACCAGAUGUCGGCGUGCUAUGUAUGUGUGCCUCCAGGAAGAAGAUACGGGCAAUACAACGUGCAGCUCAUGCCUCGGCUAUGAACGCGACGACGCGGUCCAUGAGCCGCUUGGCGUUGUCGCAAUGGAGCUUCCCAAGGAAGAACACGUGGCCCUCCCCCUCCAGCUCCAGCCAAGCCGCCCUCCCGCGCCACCCGCUCGCGGCCACGGCCUCGUAGUACGCGCGGUUGCGCGCGGCCAGCCCGUCCUCGAGCCCCGUGGUCACCAGCAUCCUCGCGCACGCGAGCCUCUCCAGCGCCGGCGACGCCAGCGGGUUCAUCCUCGGGUCGUCCGCGCCGCCCACCGCCGACCCGCGGCACGCGUAGGACCAGAGGAGCCCGGUCACCCUGGCCGCGGCCGGGGGCUCCCCCUCGAUCGCCGUGUUCCCGCUGAACCACGGGUGCAGCAGUACCGCGCCCUCGAUCCUCGGUCCGCCGUCCCUCACGAGCAUCUCGUGCGCGAUGUUGGCGCCGGCGCUGUCCCCCGCGACGAACAGCUUAGAGGCGUCGCCGUGGUCGGCGAUCCAGCCGUCCUGCGCCGAGGCAGCCCACCGGAGCGCGGCCCAGGAGUCGUCGUAGGCGGCGGGGAGCGGGUGCUCCGGGGCGAGGCGGUAGUCGACGGACACCGCGAGGACGCCGGCCGCGGCGGCGAGCGCGUUGAGGUAGUUGUGGUACGUGGGGUCGCGGGCCGACCCGAUGAGGAAGGCGCCGCCGUGGAAGUAGACGACGACCGGGAGCUUCGUGGAGGCGUCCUGGAGCUUGUUGGGGAGGUAGAGGCGCACGGAGAGGCCCGUGCCCGCGUCGAGGACGACGUCCUUGGAGGUGACGCCGGUGGCCUCGUCGACGCCGGCGGGCAGGAUGGUGGGGUCGUUGAGGCGGUCUAUCUUCCCGCUCCUGUAGACGCGGAAGCUCCCCGGCGCCUCUAG
rnacentral:rRNA from 1 species